rnacentral:ncRNA from 1 species
GCAUGCCCUUUGCUAUCGUGGUGGGACCCCGACGAGACGCGUCGUACCGGGUCAGGACAAGACGACGCACC